rnacentral:snRNA from 1 species
UAAGAUUUUGUUGUUGGUUUGAGUUAGUUUGUCAACGAUACAGAGAAUAUUAGCAUGGCCCCUGCGCAAGGAUGAGAUGUAACGACCUGUUUAGUCGUUCU